GUUUCAGCACAAAAUAACGGCUUAAUAAAUAAUUGAAAUGCCACAGGAAGUAGAGUACUAUUAUAGAGGAUGCAACCAAUCGGUAAUAUAAUAUUACGGGGGCCUGAUGGGAGAAUUAAAAAUAUUCAGGCGGCGUUUCGUUUGAAAAAGAAGGCGGCAUCACCGAUGAUUCGCGGCGCCGACAACGAAUUUCAUCGUCGUGUAAAUGUCGUGUUGGAUACGUGCGUGCGAUGUAUACGUAUAUUAUUUGCAGACGGGUAUGAGAUUGAUAUUUUGGGAGACCCCACGCGAGAGGCACACGGCACCAAUAAACGUCGUGGCACCGCUGAGAGCUUCGUGCAAAUAUCAAGUGCGUUUUGUUACGGCGCUCUACCCCGAUGUGAAAGCAAAUUUCAUCCCGAAAUGCAAAAUCGACCCUCCUGUAUGCUUGAAAAAUUAUUACAAAUGUCAAUACUUGGCUACUAAUUUCACGAAAGUGAACGAAUAUCUUCGUGGACGAGAAACGAUAGAGAAGCGUGCGGGAUCCUUUAGCAACGAAUGCUCACUUGCGUGGCCAAAUAUUCGAAAUAUUUUGGGAACAAGUAUUACGAAAGAUCGGAAGUAGCGUCCACACAACGGUUGAACAUAGCGAGACUUUUUCCUCAUGGUAAUACGAAAAAUAAAGCUAGCAAAUUGACUCGCCCGGUUUAUUCAAUGCGCCUUGUUAAAAAACGUUUAUUGACACAUUGGACCUCAAGAAAUAAAGAAAUCCAACGAUCAACGGCGAUUAUUUUUAGUUGCCAAAGCUUCAAAUACACUGGAUAUUAAAAGACUCCAUUCGUCAUGAAGCCUACUCGCAUAGCUAUAAAUGCGCGAUUUCUUGGAUAAAUUGUAAAUUGCUCUAACUGAGGACCAUUAUAUUCUGUCUCGCAAUAUGGGUGGUAAUAGAAGCUGCAUAUUUCAUAAUUACACGAAUCCAGUUGAUUUAUUUUUGGAAGAUACAAUAAAUAAGCGGAAUGAAAAAAUUGAA